CUAGACCACAAGCGUUAUCCGGAUUUAUUGGGCGUAAAGAGCAUGUAGGAGGUUCGGUGCGUNNUNNGNUNAAAGCCCACCGCCUAACGGUGGAAGUGCCGGAGAUACGAUCGAACUGGAGGAUGUGAGAGGUGCAUGGAACUCACGGUGUAGGGGUGAAAUCCGUUGAUAUCGUGGGGAACACCAAAGGCGAAGGCAGUGCACUGGUACAUUCCUGACUCUGAGAUGCGAAAGCGUGGGGAGCAAAAAGGAUUAGAUACCCUUGUAGUCCACGCCCUAAACGAUGCAGGUUUGCUGUUUCGAGUAUCGACCCUCGGAGUGGCGGAGCUAACGCGUUAAACCUGCCGCCUGGGAAGUACGAUCGCAAGAUUA
rnacentral:rRNA from 1 species